rnacentral:tmRNA from 1 species
GGGGAUGUAUUUGGCUUUGACAUCGAUGGUUUAAGUCGAAAAAUUGCAAUUCGAGCAUCGCGCUGUCUGCUCGUGAUUAGUCCAGCGCAUCAUAAGUGCAACAACUUAUAAAUCUCUAGGUGCACGCUUUGCAGCUGCUAAGAAGGCUUUAACUCCUUCUUUUGCGCCUGUUUACGCGUAAACCUUGAACGGUCGCCAAUUCGCGACCUCGUCCCAUAUUCCGACACCUGCUGAGUUUAUGGGGCGUUAUUUAGCAGGUUAAGUGUGCCGCACGCCUUCGUAGGGCGGCAUGACGAAAAAAGAACCCGGAUACGCUAAGCUGCUUCGGCCUCGCUCUGAUAGCUUAGCCGACAACCAAAAGCGGGGCUAUAAUUGUAGACGUUUUAGACUUCAUCUUUGGACCCCGGUUCGACUCCGGGCAUCUCCACCA